GACGAACGCUGGCGGCGUGCCUAACACAUGCAAGUCGAACGGAAAGGCCCUGCUUUUGUGGGGUGCUCGAGUGGCGAACGGGUGAGUAACACGUGAGUAACCUGCCCUUGACUUUGGGAUAACUUCAGGAAACUGGGGCUAAUACCGGAUAGGAGCUCCUGCUGCAUGGUGGGGGUUGGAAAGUUUCGGCGGUUGGGGAUGGACUCGCGGCUUAUUAGCUUGUUGGUGGGGUAGUGGCUUACCAAGGCUUUGACGGGUAGCCGGCCUGAGAGGGUGACCGGCCACAUUGGGACUGAGAUACGGCCCAGACUCCUACGGGAGGCAGCAGUGGAGAGUAUUGCACAGUGGGCGGAAGCCUGAUGCAGCAACGCCGCGUGCGGGAUGACGGCCUUCGGGUUGUAAACCGCUUUCGCCUGUGACGAAGCGUGAGUGACGGUAAUGGGUAAAGAAGCACCGGCUAACUACGUG
rnacentral:rRNA from 1 species